UCAGUAGAAGAAGUGUGGUCAGUACGUGUUGAGGCAGCGUACAGCCCAUGUACCGAGUGGCUUUUGUUAACCUGCCUUCUCUGUUUUUUACAGAGAUCCUGAUGGAGAACUCGCACCAACAGAGCGAGAGCUCAUUUUAAAGGUACCAUGGAGAAAGGACAGCACCACACCGAAGUGUGCCAGUCCACAGAGCAUGUGCAGAAACGGCCGGCUUGUCCCAACAGCUGGUCUGUGGCGCCCUCUGGUGGUGAAAGUGCAGCGCGGCACCGUGAAGCCUCGGCAUUAAUGUGGCGGAAACAGAGGGAAAUUACAGGCUGAGACGACGGUUCAUCUGCAGGCCACCAUCUGCCCGAGACGGCAGCACAAACUCCAACAAGUACACAUCACAGAGUGUAAGGAUGCUGAAAGAGGCCAAAACCACUGGACUGAUCUUCAUGCAGCUCAGCUUCAGUUUCAGAUGAUUUCUGGUCGACUGUGUGGGUUUGUGUUCACUCUCGGUCACGUGGACCUCGCGUCAUUAAACACACGAAGCGACAUCUCCUCAGAACGAACAAAGACUGACACCAAAGGUAUUUUCUGCACAUUUUAUUUGAUUUUUCACUGUUUUUAAACCUCACAAAUAAUUUCAGCUGCUUGUUUUUUUCUACACUCUUUGAACCGUACUUUUAUGUGCCUGCAAAAACACAACACUCAUUCUUGUGUGUGCACUCACGCUGUGAAAGGUUCAUUCUGUAAAAAAAAACACAACACUGGUGGGGGGGAGGGGGGUUUCAUGUGUCUACCCAGUUGUGGGCCAAAUGGUCUCAUUUUUGCUGUGCAGGACAGCAGCGUGAUACUGAGCAAACCAAUGUCUAAAAAUAAAAGUACAGGACUCAUUUAAUGUUAAAGACAAAGUAACAGAGGUCCUGUUAACACCUGCAGCAGACAAAUGUGAGCUUACACUGCUGCUUCUGACUGGCUGCUUAGUGAUCACAUGAUUAGAGGGGCUGUGAGUCGAGCCUUCACCUCCCAGUGGCCCCUCCUGAGCCAGGGAAAGACCCGGAUCAUGGCUCCUCACUGGUGUCAUACCCACCUGCAGCCACACGAUGGCGAUCUAAGACCAGGAAAUGAGAUGCUGAAGUGCUCAGAUGAGGGAGCAGAGCUCCAGUCGCAGCAUGGACAUUAAACACACGAGACAUUAAAUGCGAUCCCAACGAGAGGAUCCGAGCUCCGACUGUGGGUGCCAGGUCUGCUGUGAGAACAGCCCACACCUCUAAAACGAACCCAAAAUAAAGUUUCCUUGUUUUCAAGCUUCAAAAAGUGUUUAGUCUGUCCCCAAGGGCACUUCCUGCCUUUGACUUCCCUGUAAGGAAACUUCCUGUAACGAGCUCCAGAUUAGGCCCCAUAUUUGAUUUUCACUGUUCAUUAACUAAGCCACCUGGAAUGUUAUUAUUUAAGCACGCUGCUCCUUCUCCCCAAACAACUGCCGCUGCGAGGGGGGAGCGCUUUCCCGGCCAACUUUAUAGAUUUAGCAUAACUUCCCUUCACAGUUUUUAAUUUCCCAUUCGGGUAGAUGGCAGAUGCACCUCACAGACACAGAAACCUGCCCGGCAUUCAUCUCUCACAUGAAUGCGAGUCUUAUCUGUUUGUUUCCUUCAGACAGUCUGCCGUCUGUGGGCCAGCGCACCUCGCACACAGCCCUGCGCCCGCCCCACAAACAUCACACACAAUCUAUACGUCGGCCCGAGCCACCACAGCGCCCUCUUGUGGCACGCCAUGAGGCGGCACCGGCGGGAGAGGAUCUGGGAAAGCUCAACAUAUGGUGUGAGGACACACAGCUCCAGGAUCCAUCUACUGUUAAUACAUGUGUCAUGCUUAACAGAAUGGAUAAAUGGGGGGGGCAACGGCACGGUGCUGCACUGAGCAUGUGUCGGGGAGUACACGCCGGCGUGGGUGUGUGUGCGUGCGGACGAGUGUGUGUCGUCUCAGAGGGAUCACCUGACGUUAACAUCAGCCUGCAAAAAUACCACACGCAUACUUAUGCACACACACGCACACUCACACAGACACACGCAUGUCAGGUAUUCAUAUCUGAAAUCUGACUUAAUGCUUCCCGAGCCCCUGACCCGCCUGUAAGCCUGUCACUGAAAACACAUUUUCAAAAAUGUCUUCAAACUUGUGGGGACCAGACACGCACAUGCACACGCAUGCAGACACAAACACGCACUCUCACAAAGAAACACACACGCGGCUGCUUGUCUGUUUGAGCUCAGAGCAUUUACAUUUCUCUUUGCUUUAGUGGGAAAAAGUGAAAAAGGAAUAAAGGUCACGCAGCUGCGUCACACUGAAGAUGAAACAUUUUCAUGUCAGCCUCACAAUUAAUGCAAUAAUUCGUCCGAGCUCUCGUACUCAUGUUCACGUCCACGCCGUGGAGGAGGCGGGAUCCCAUGUAGGACAGGUGUUAUUCAACACCCACAGCGCUCAGCCAAUCAGAAGAAAGCUGGCUUUCAGGAGGAGGAGCUAAAACGGCUGAUUCCAGAGAGAACAUGAGCUCCAGGCCUUGCAGAAGCGGCUCUGGAUCGUGUUUUUUUGACCCUGAGCGGGCCUGACAGCGACCAGCCCGCCUGUGAGUGUCACAGAAAGAAGGCUUAUUCUGAACUGUGCAAAGUCGCCCUGCGAGAGCUGAGCAGGAAGAAAUGGGCUUGGCACACUGGGGCGUGUUCGGACAGGUGACCUGCGUGUGUGCAUGCGAUGCUGGCGGUGGCUCUUUGUUCCCUGUCGCAGGCUUCCGGCCUCAAAGCGGCAAAGAGUGUUAUCGUUGGCAGCGGCGCGCCUCAUUGUACAGCCCGGCAUUUCUAAAUAUGUAAAUAUGAGCAGCAGCAGGCUUGUAUACACCGAGGAGGAGCGGCGCAGGAAGUGAGCGCAGCCCGCGCCCCCCUCUGCCUCCAAAAUUGUAUUUUUAGAUGGUUUUAAUGAAUACAGGAUGUUUAUAGUUACCAUUCCCUGUGAUUCGCACAAAAGACUAGAAAAAUCCACACCGCCACCCCUCCUCUUCACCCUUCCCACCUUCCUCCCCCUCCUUCCCCCGAUCCCUCAAAGCACUACUAAAGAAGCAGAAGAAGAAGAAG